rnacentral:rRNA from 1 species
GACGAACGCUGGCGGCGUGCUUAACACAUGCAAGUCGAACGGAAAGGCCCUGCUUUUGUGGGGUGCUCGAGUGGCGAACGGGUGAGUAACACGUGAGUAACCUGCCCUUGACUUUGGGAUAACUUCAGGAAACUGGGGCUAAUACCGGAUAGGAGCUCCUGCUGCAUGGUGGGGGUUGGAAAGUUUCGGCGGUUGGGGAUGGACUCGCGGCUUAUCAGCUUGUUGGUGGGGUAGUGGCUUACCAAGGCUUUGACGGGUAGCCGGCCUGAGAGAGUGACCGGCCACAUUGGGACUGAGAUAAGGCCCAGACUCCUACGGGAGGAAGCAGUGGGGAAUAUUGCACAAUGGGCGGAAGCCUGAUGCAGCAACGCCGAGUGCGGGAUGACGGCCUUAGGGUUGUAAACCGCUUUCGCCUGUGACGAAGCGUGAGUGACGGUAAUGGGUAAAGAAGCACCGGCUAACUACGUG